AGUGAACGCUGGCGGUAGGCCUAACACAUGCAAGUCGAACGGCAGCACAGUAAGAGCUUGCUCUUACGGGUGGCGAGUGGCGGACGGGUGAGGAAUACAUCGGAAUCUACUUUUUCGUGGGGGAUAACGUAGGGAAACUUACGCUAAUACCGCAUACGACCUACGGGUGAAAGCAGGGGAUCUUCGGACCUUGCGCGAUUGAAUGAGCCGAUGUCGGAUUAGCUAGUUGGCGGGGUAAAGGCCCACCAAGGCGACGAUCCGUAGCUGGUCUGAGAGGAUGAUCAGCCACACUGGAACUGAGACACGGUCCAGACUCCUACGGGAGGCAGCAGUGGGGAAUAUUGGACAAUGGGCGCAAGCCUGAUUCAGCCAUACCGCGUGGGUGAAGAAGGCCUUCGGGUUGUAAAGCCCUUUUGUUGGGAAAGAAAAGCAGCAGGUUAAUACCCCGCUGUUCUGACGGUACCCAAAGAAGAAGCACCGGCUAACUUCGU
rnacentral:rRNA from 1 species